rnacentral:tRNA from 1 species
GAGGUUGUGGCUCAGCAGUAGAGCAUGUGCCUAGCAUGUGCAAGGCCCUGGGUUCAAUCCUCAGCACCACA